GAUUGACCCGAUUAGCCAAACAAAGUACCCGUGAGGGGAAAGUUGCAAAGAACUUGAAAGAGAGAGUUCAAGAGUACGUGAAACUGCUCAGAGGUAAACGGGUGGGCCCUCGAAAUCCUGUGGCGAGAGGAUUCAGUCUUGGGUGGGCGGACUCGGCGGUGGAAAUCGGCAGGACUUCCCGGGACCGGGGUCGUCUGCCGCCGUGCCUUCCGUCUUGCCAGACGCAUUUGUCUCUCGUCCGAAGGACGCUGCAGCCGGUCUGGAAGUGCAAACGUGACGGCCUGAAGGUCGGGAGCUGGCAGGUGGCCGGUGGCUCGCCUCGUGCGGGUCGUCGGUUGUUAGCCGUCCCGUCAGUGGCUCGUCUCCAGACCGUGGUGUCGCGAGUCCCUCCAGGGACUCCACGUCUCCACCCCGCGUCGCGGGACAGACCGUGGCAAGGGUGUCUCGUCCAUUUGUCGCACGCCCCACGCGUGGACCUAGAAACGAGACGCCCCGUUCGCUGCGGCGGGCCCGUCGGGGACAGGAGGCUGGCAGCGAGUAGGUCGGUCACCCACCCGACCCGUCUUGAAACACGGACCAAGGAGUCUAACAUGUGCGCGAGUCAAUGGGUCUUGAACAGGCCCAGGGGCGCAAUGAAAGCGAAGGUCGGCCUAGCGUCGGCUGAGCGGGGAUCCCUCUCUCUCGGGAGGGGGCGCACCCGCGACCCGUCCUGUGCUGCUCGCAGCUUGGGCGGAGUUUGAGCGUACACGUUGGGACCCGAAAGAUGGUGAACUAUGCCCGGACAGAAUAAAGCCAGAGGAAACUCUGGUGGAGGUUCGCAGCGGUUCUGACGUGCAAAUCGGUCGUCAGAUCCGGGUAUAGGGGCNAAAGACUAAUC
rnacentral:rRNA from 1 species